rnacentral:rRNA from 1 species
UACGUAGGGUGCGAGCGUUAAUCGGAAUUACUGGGCGUAAAGCGUGCGCAGGCGGUUCGUUGUGUCGGUGGUGAAAUCCCCGGGCUUAACCUGGGAAUGGCCAUGGAACUGGCGAACUGGAGUGCGGCAGAGGGGGGUGGAAUUCCGCGUGUAGCAGUGAAAUGCGUAGAGAUGCGGAGGAACACCGAUGGCGAAGGCAGCCCCCUGGGCUAGCACUGACGCUCAGGCACGAAAGCGUGGGGAGCAAACAGG